AAAGUUCAAAAUCGUUGUGUUUUUUCCAUAUAGGGUUCCUACAUAGAAAAUUUAAACACAAAACAACUAAUAAUCUGUUAUCACUCCUACUUCUAACAAUUAAAAAUAAAAAAAAUUAAAAAUCAUCCAAAAAUUAAUAUAAUCUUGAAAAACAAAAAUUCAGUCAUCCUUCUCAAAAUCCAUCUCAUCAUCUUCCUCCCCCUCCUCAAUUCCUUCUUCUUCACUCUUCUACUCCUCUUCUUCUUACUCUGGAUGUGGCGGCCCAAACAUAUCCAACAUAUAAUUAGAC
rnacentral:lncRNA from 1 species